UACGGCUAUUUCACCUUGAAACACCGCUUCCCGUUCGAUUACCGAAGUUAAGCAACAUCGAGCUUGGUCAGUACCUAGAUGGGUUGCCUCUUGGGCAUACCAGGU